CCUACGGGGGGCUGCAGUGGGGAAUAUUGCACAAUGGGCGCAAGCCUGAUGCAGCGACGCCGCGUGAGCGAAGAAGGUCUUCGGAUCGUAAAGCUCUGUUGUUAUGGAAGAACAAGUACGGGAGGAAAUGACCGUACCUUGACGGUACCUGACGAGGAAGCCACGGCUAGCUACGUGCCAGCAGCUGCGGUAAUACGUAGGUGGCAAGCGUUGUCCGGAAUUAUUGGGCGUAAAGCGCGCGCAGGCGGUCUUUUAAGGCUGAUGUGAAAUCUUGCGGCUCAACCGCAAGCGGUCAUUGGAAACUGGGAGACUUGAGUGCAGAAGAGGAAAGCGGAAUACCACGUGUGGCGGUGAAAUGCGUAGAGAUGUGGAGGAACACCAGUGGCGAAGGCGGCUUUCUGAUCUGUAACUGACGCUGAAGCGCGAAAGCGUGGGGAGCAAACAGGAUUAGAUACCCGGGUAGUC
rnacentral:rRNA from 1 species